CACAGGUGCUGCAUGGCUGUCGUCAGCUCGUGUCGUGAGAUGUUCGGUUAAGUCCGCUAACGAGCCGCAACCCUCGCUGUGUGUUACAAGUGUCACACGGUACUGCCGGUCUUAAGCCGGAGGAAGGUGGGGAUGACGUCAAGUCAGCAUGGCCUUUAUGUCCUGGGCUACACACACGCUACAAUGGCCAACACAAUAGGUUGCUAAGCCGCGAGGUGGAGCCAAUCCUCAAAGUUGGUCUCAGUUCAGAUUGCAGGCUGCAACCCGCCUGCAUGAAGAUGGAGUUGCUAGUAACCGCAGGUCAGCUAUACUGCGGUGAAUACGUUCCCGGGGCUU
rnacentral:rRNA from 1 species